AAAUGUAACUAGUCUAGAAAAUCUAUUAAUACGUAACAUGUUAUUUGUGUUUAAUUGGUUCUUUACUUCGUUUUAAUGAUAGAACAAUGGGUCGCCGCGCGCGUCACGGUCGUAAUGUUACUAGUGUAAAAUAAAUGGCUCCUGUUUUAGAAACGGUGACUUAACACGCAAAUUUUAUAAAUAAUAAUUGUGCAACGCGCUGGCCACGGCUCAACACAGCUCAGCAGUGUUCGUAGACUUGUCUGAAACGGUAAUUCAGUUCACGCCUCUUAACGGGACAAGCGCGUCCCGCCAUUUCCGCGAAUCCUGCAAAUCACGCGAAAACAAGUUACAUUAUUGAAAACAAAUUAAUUUUUAAACUAUUUGCAAAUAAAUGUGAUAUGGCUGUAUGUUAAUCCACGCUUAAUAAAGAGUUAUAAUGGAAAGAAAAAGGUGAAAUUGUGUCAAAAUAUUUAUGUCGUGUUUGUUACGGUUACAAUUUUUUUUUAAUUUUUAGGGUUGUUCUUUUUUUAAAUUGUGUGUUCCUUGUUUGGAAAACAACGAUUCCAAAUUCAUUUAUUUUUAAUUACUUACCUACUUUUGUUUUAUUUAGUUAUGAUAUACAGAUGUUCCUUAUAAUAAUAUUUUCACACAUUUUAAUAAGAAAAUUUAAAGCUUAAUCAUAUUCCUAGCGGUGCGACAAAUAAUAGUCGGCAUUGCCAAAUGUGAAAUCUAAUUUUGUAGCUAUUUUUUUUUCUUUUGAUUCAAAAUAUUAAUGUCGAAGACGUUGACCGCAUUAUGGGCUAAUAUGGUAGACUAUUGUGACUUUUUUAAAUUACCUUUAUUUCGCUUUAGUUUAUUUACUAAGCAAUUAUAAAUAUUAUUUUACCCAAGACA